rnacentral:tRNA from 1 species
CGGGGAGAGCAGAGAGGGUGCUGUGCCCUUCAGGCUCAUAACCUGAAGGUCGGUGGUUCAAAUCCACCCCCGCAACCA